AUUGAACGCUGGCGGCAGGCCUAACACAUGCCAGUCGAACGGUAACAGGAAGAAGCUUGCUUCUUUGCUGACGAGUGGCGGACGGGUGAGUAAUGUCUGGGAAACUGCCUGGUGGAGGGGGAUAACUACUGGAAACGGUAGCUAAUACCGCAUAACGUCGCAAGACCAAAGAGGGGGACCUUCGGGCCUCUUGCCAUCGGAUGUGCCCAGAUGGGAUUAGCUAGUAGGUGGGGUAACGGCUCACCUAGGCGACGAUCCCUAGCUGGUCUGAGAGGAUGACCAGCCACACUGGAACUGAGACACGGUCCAGACUCCUACGGGAGGCAGCAGUGGGGAAUAUUGCACAAUGGGCGCAAGCCUGAUGCAGCCAUGCCGCGUGUAUGAAGAAGGCCUUCGGGUUGUAAAGUACUUUCAGCGGGGAGGAAGGGAGUAAAGUUAAUACCUUUGCUCAUUGACGUUACCCGCAGAAGAAGCACCGGCUAACUCCGUG
rnacentral:rRNA from 1 species